rnacentral:rRNA from 1 species
GAUGAACGCUGGCGGCGUGCCUAAUACAUGCAAGUCGAGCGAACAGACGAGAAGCUUUCUUCUCUGACGUUAGCGGCGGACGGGUGAGUAACACGUGGAUAACCUACCUAUAAGACUGGGAUAACUUCGGGAAACCGGAGCUAAUACCGGAUAAUAUUUUGAACCGCAUGGUUCAAAAGUGAAAGACGGCUUUGCUUUCACUUAUAGAUGGAGCCGCGCUGGAUUAGCUAGUUGGUAAGGUAACGGCUUACCAAGGCAACGAUCCGUAGCCGACCUGAGAGGGUGACCAGCCACACUGGAACUGAGACACGGUCCAGACUCCUACGGGAGGCAGCAGUGGGGAAUAUUGCACAAUGGGCGCAAGCCUGAUGGAGCCAUGCCGCGUGUAUGAAGAAGGCCUUCGGGUUGUAAAAUACUGUUAGUGGGGAGGAAGGAAGGAAAGAGAAAACCUUCACUCAUUGACGGUACCCGAAGAAGAAGCCCCGGCUAACUCCGUG